UAGUAUAAAUAAUAUAUUUAAUUUCCAAUUAAAAGAU
rnacentral:tRNA from 1 species